rnacentral:rRNA from 1 species
GACGAACGCUGGCGGCGUGCUUAACACAUGCAAGUCGAACGGAAAGGCCCUGCUUUUGUGGGGUGCUCGAGUGGCGAACGGGUGAGUAACACGUGAGUAACCUGCCCUUGACUUUGGGAUAACUUCAGGAAACUGGGGCUAAUACCGGAUAGGAGCUCCUGCUGCAUGGUGGGGGUUGGAAAGUUUCGGCGGUUGGGGAUGGACUCGCGGCUUAUCAGCUUGUUGGUGGGGUAGUGGCUUACCAAGGCUUUGACGGGUAGCCGGCCUGAGAGGGUGACCGGCCACAUGGGGACUAAGAUACGGCCCAGACGCCAACGGGAGGCAGCAGGGGGGAAUAUUGCACAAUGGGCGGAAGCCUGAUGCAGCAGCGCCGCGUGCGGGAUGACGGCCUUCGGGUGGUAAACCGCUUUCGCCUGUGACGAAGCGGGAGUGACGGUAAUGGGUAAAGAAGCACCGGCUAACUACGUG